GAGGGUUCCGGCGGAGGAAAGGAGCCCCGACUCCUCCCCCUUGCCCCCCCUCCCCCCUUGCCCGAGCGCGGACCGGUUCCGGGGUCCUCGGCCGGAGCGGUCAUCAUGAGACAGAGCUGGUAAUGACCGUGUGCUCGGAGCGUGCUCGUGUCCCCAGGGCCGCAUUUCCACGCACAACGGGGCAGAAGAGGGUCGCUUUGCGGGAGUGAAUGGCCCCCCCCGAAGGUACCGAUGGACUGACUCAGUGCCCAGAAAACCAGUCCCACUGAGUGCGGGCAUUCCCUGCAUGUGUUUGACUCAAACAAGGGACGCCUUGGGUCUCCCAGCCUCCUUGCCAUGGUGUCUGAUAAAGUUGAUUGAAAUCUUGAAUUUCAGGAAGUUUUGACUUCUUUCCCUUUGCAGAAAGAGAGGAGAAAUACAUGCAUGUUUGACCAGCCCCAACAACUCUGCCAGGUAGUAUCUUGAUGAGGAUACUGCGAUUCAGCAAAGUUGCCUCACUUAGCGAAGGCCGCACAGCUGCUGAGGGAGUGGCAGCGCGGGCGGGAGCCACAUCUGCCAGGCUGCAGGUCCCUGCGUGUGAUGGGUCGCCUGCUGCAGAAGGCACGGAGACGGGUGCUACACUCGGGCACCAGGCAUCGGAUAGAGCCAUCUUCUGGGUUUGCAUUCCAGCUCUGCCAUUCGCUGGCUGAGUAACCUUAGUGCCUGGGCUUCAGCGGACUCAUCUGUAAAACAGUCCUGAGAAGUAGUACCGAUCUGGUAGGAUUGUUAUGUGGAUGAAAUAAAGUAGGCAAAGCCCCUAAAAGAGUGCAUAGCACAUGUCAACAAUAGCUGGGCCUUGGAGAGUGGACCUGCAGCUCUCUCCACACAGAAUGUGCCCAAGAGAGCUGCCUAGAGAAGCUCCAUGAUGCAUCACACAGACAGCCCCCACCAAGAACCCAGCUGUGUUCAUCUUAUAACUGGAGGACAGGCAUCUAUCACCUGCCUCGUGUAAGUGGCCCUUGGAGAAGACCAGCAGCAGAAUCUCCAAGAUGAUCCCAAAAAGUACCCACUGAGUGGAAGAAUCAGCCUUGAGUGCGAUGGAGCCAGAGAGCACAGCAGCGCAUCACCACGGCACCAAGUGAAGCUGGACAUACGGCUGCCCAGAAUGAAGACUUCCUUUCCCAGCCUCCCCUGAUAGCUCGGCAUGGCCAUACCCCUGCGUUCUUGCCUGUGGCCUGUAAACAGAAGUGUCCUUAAGGGAGAUGGCAUGUCCUCCUUGCUCUUCCUCCGUCCUGUUGGCUGGCUGGAAUAGGGAUGUGAUGGCUGGCGUCGGAGCAGCCAUAUUGGACCAUGAGAAGAGACCCAUGUACUGAGGACAGCGGAAGGAAACAAGAGAAGGGCCUUGAGUCCCUGACACCCAGGAGCGCCGUGCUAGCCGAAACUGUGGCUUUCGGGUUCUUACCUGGGCGAGAAAUAAACAUCCGUCUUCUUCGUUUUGUGUUUCUGCCCCACUUGGCUGAAGGUAAUCUUCAUUACAUGCCCCCAUUAGUUAUCUCUUGCUACAGGACAAAUUGCCUCAAAAUCUAGUGACUCAAAGUGCAAACACUCAUGAUCACUUGCCACUUGCAUGGCGAGGGAGUGCAGGAGCCGCUUGGCUGGGCUCCUGGCCGGGACUGCCAGCAUCUGAGGCUGCUGAGGGCGGCUCAGCUGGUAAAGGCAGCUGGCCCGCGUGACUAUCCAGCAGGGACCUCAUCCUGGGCUGCUGGAAGGUUCUCAGGAGAUGGCUGCUGGCACCCCUACCCCACCCCCUGGCCACCAAAACAAGUGAGCUUGAGAAUGAAGCCGAGUGAGGGAUAUCUUUUAUGACCUAGCCAUCAAAGCCACCCACUGUCACUUCUGCAAUAGCCACAGAUGCCCAUUCAGCGUGGAAAUACACAGAGGUGUGAGGGCAGGUAGACAAGGCUCAUUGGAGGCUCCCACAACCCACUUCUUCCCUGACGGCUUGGUAUCUGUUCAAGUAGCCGGUGAUAAUCCCUCCAUAUCAGGGAAAGGUAUUUGUGUACAGUGGCCUCAGGGAUAAAUCAUGUCCCUUCUACAGCAGCUAUUGUUGCCAUUAAAUUUGUUGGCUCAGCUUACUUAGCCUAUUUUUCACAAUUUACCUGAUUCAGAGAGCAGUUUGGAGAUGGCUCACGUUUAAACAUCCUCUUUUUCCCCUCUGAAUUUCCUCCAGCUUCUCGGCUGAGCCAGAGUCAUUGAAUUUUACGCCUUUGUCAAAAUAAGCUGUCAGCAACUGGGCCAGAUCUAUGAGAGGGCGACAUCGUUUGCACUGCCCCAGCUUUCACCUUGCAGUGCGUGGACCGGAGGGGGCCCGGCAAACAGACAUAAAUCCGGAGCUCUAUAAUUCUCUCUCCCCUGAAGAAGUGGCCAUAAAGCCCAUCACUCCAGAUAUAUGGGGAGAGAGAGACAAAGGACAGCCCUCGAUGAGUUUCAGAGGGGCCGUAAAACAGAAAGAGAGACCUCACUCACGGUGGCGGGCUCAUUAGAAGCCAGCCAGGCAGGGACGUAAUUGAUGGUGGGAUGCUGACUGGCCGGCGGGGCCUGAAUGUCACUCCCUGUCCCACCCCCGCCACCCUGAGCACUCCUCAGCCCCUGUGACUGAUGCUGAUGGCUCCUGGGGAAAUGGUACUGCUUUCGGAGUCUGAACAGAACUUGGCCUGGAGGUGGUCGGUGUUUAAGAACAGACUGUGCUCCAGGCAAAUAAGUGUUCUGAAUGCAGCCGCCCCAGCUCUGCCAGGACCCUCGAGUCCCGUGACCUGCAGGAGAGACUUGCUGUGCAUCACACACAGGCCGCGGGCCUGUCUUCUCAGCCUC